rfam:Acinetobacter radioresistens SK82 contig00056, whole genome shotgun sequence.
CAUUAUGGUAGGCCAGGCAGGGCAGUCUAUGACUGGCCGUCUUCUGUAGUGCGGUAUUUCCACCCCUGUUUGGUCUACCUCCAUC